CAAAAGUGAAAAUGUCCAAAUUGGGCCCAAAUAGCCAUUUUCUCUCCCCAGUGUCAUGUGACUCGUUAGUGUUACAAGGUCUCAGGUGUGAAUGGGGAGCAGGUGUGUUAAAUUUGGUGUUAAUCGCUCUCACUCUCUCAUACUGGUCACUGGAAGUUCAACAUGGCACCUCAUGGCAAAGAACUCUCUGAGGAUCUGAAAAAAAAGAAUUGCUGCUCUACAUAAAGAUGGCGUAGGCUAUAAGAAGAUUGCCAAGACCCUGAAACUGAGCUGCAGCACAGUGGCCAAGACCAUACAGCGGUUUAACAGGACAGGUUCCACUCAGAACAGGCCUCGCCAUGGUCGACCAAAGAAGUUGAGUGCACGUGCUCACCCAGACGUUCCAGCCAUGAGACUGUACAUCACUCUGGGUCUCAUCACUGUUUCUUUCUCUGCAGUAUUCGCACUGAGAUGCCACCAGUGCAAAUACAAUUCAUCUGUAGAAUGCAGGCAAAAUCUAACAAAAUGUCCUCUUCAGUGUGGCUCCAUCACCAUUUACAACGAUGACAGUACAUUAGACAGAAGUGAGAAGAACUGUACAGAUCCUGCCCUGUGCGUUACUGAUGCCACACAUUUUGGACAAAACAAAACGACUUUUGAUCCCCAGUGCUGUGACACAGACCUCUGCAACACUGAAGAGGCACCAGCAUUGCUGCGAUAUUCCAUUGGGACAAUGUGUUACACCUGUGACAUUUUCAAUAAAGACUGCUCACAAAUUGUGACGUGUUCAGGUGACCAGACAAAGUGCUUCAGUUCAAAAGUUAACAUAAUUGGCAUGAAUACGAAAGGAUGUGCAAGUGAUAUUUUAUGUGGGAACAAUCUAUUAAAUACCCUGGGGUCUAUAUCUGGUACUCAGAUGACAUGCUGUGAGGGAAUCCUGUGUAACAGCGGUCAGAGCUUGAAACAAAGUCUCUUCCCGCUGCUGGUGCCACUUCUCUCCCCUACUUUUCCUCUGAAAUGUGUCCUGUUUUUGGUUCUCUGGACUUUUUGUGCUUUAUCAACAUACAGUAAGACACAUGAAGUAUGUAGCUACAUAAUCAUGAAUCAUGUUGGUGCCACUUCUGUUUUGUGUUCUGGUUUUGGUGAAGGAAAACUUUUUUUGCUGACCAUUCUUUUAUUUCUGAUUAACUACUUUACUAUAACGUAUCCAGAUGUAUUUAAAAUUAAGAUGCCUUUUAUUUAGGAGGGGGUAGAUUGGCUAAACACUAUAAGGAAAGUAAAUAUAAUAACACUAUAUUGCGUAAAUUAUCAAUGAUAAUUAUCUGUACUCAUGUAUUCUGUUUAUGUGUGUUUCUUUAAAUACAAUCACUUUUAUUACCAGGUUAUUAAUUUGAUUAAAACUUAAACACUAUUUUCUUUUUUACUUUGACCAAUGCCUUUAUAAUUUUUUUUAAAAUGCCUCUUUUCAUUUUUUUUUUUUUUUUGCUUUACUCUGUCUUUGUCAAACUUAAUUAUAAAAAAUCAUCAUAAAAAUAUGAAUUAUAUCAUGUUGAAAACAUUUAUGAUUUGAACAAAGAAUGAAAUAAACCAUAUUGAAGCAAUGGUCAAUUGUCAUUAAUUUUUUUUUUUCCACAAUACAACUGUCCCUCAGUUUUAGUGCAAUUUCUUCCAUAACCAACAACUGUGCUUCCGUAUAUUUUUUUUUAAAUGUUAGUGUCCUUGGUCCUCAAGAAGACAGCAGUGUCCGUGAAGAGCAUGAUUGAAAUGAGAUAGCCUACUUGUUAACAGACUUACCUUGAAAGGGACAUUAAAUUUGGCUGCAGGACGGAGGAGCAAGGGAACGAAGCAAUUUGACUAUUGAGAAACACCCCUGUCAAGCACAGGAG